rnacentral:rRNA from 1 species
CCUGGCCUUGACAUACUAAGAACUUUCCAGAGAUGGAUUGGUGCCUUCGGGAACUUAGAUACAGGUGCUGCAUGGCUGUCGUCAGCUCGUGUCGUGAGAUGUUGGGUUAGGUCCGCAACGAGCGCAACCCUUUUCCUUAUUUGCCAGCGGGUAAUGCCGGGAACUUUAAGGAUACUGCCAGUGACAAACUGGAGGAAGGCGGGGACGACGUCAAGUCAUCAUGGCCCUUACGGCCAGGGCUACACACGUGCUACAAUGGUCGGUACAAAGGGUUGCUACCUCGCGAGAGGAUGCUAAUCUCAAAAAGCCGAUCGUAGUCCGGAUCGCAGUCUGCAACUCGACUGCGUGAAGUCGGAAUCGCUAGUAAUCGCGGAUCAGAAUGCCGCGGUGAAUACGUUCCCGGGCCUUGUACACACCGCCCGUCACACCAUGGGAGUUUGUUGCACCAGAAGUAGGUAGUCUAACCGCAAGGAGGACGCUUACCACGGUGUGGCCGAUGACUGGGGUGAAGUCGUAACAAGGUAGGCGUAGAUGA